rnacentral:lncRNA from 1 species
UGCUAGAUGACUUUAUGUACUAUGAAAACCGUCAAAAGAUCAUGCAAGAUGAGAAAGCAAAGUUCAUGAUCAAGAGUUUUGAAAGUCCAUUUAUACCACCUUUGGAAGCUCCACGUAAGUUAAAUUUUGUUGUGAACACACCUGGGGUCAAUGAUGACAAGAAUUCAAAGCCUAAGGAGGAUGUUGGUAGCUUAAAGCAAACUUCAACUUCCAGUUUUGAGCAAAUUGUCAACACUUCUAAUGUCCCUAGCAUCAAGUCAGUUGAUGACAAGGUUGAGAAAGUUGAAGUUGACAAAGAAGAUAUUUCUUCUAUUUUAAAGAUUGGCUCAGUCACUAUUACCCCAAAACUAGUUGGAAAAAAGCAAUCCCUUGGUUCUAGUAAUAAAGAACCAACUGAUGUUGUUACAGUAGGGUCAAUGCAAGUCAAAGUUAAAGGAUUUGCAGAAUCUUCUGGUAUCUUGAAGGUUGGCAGUAUCCCACUUGAUACUAGAUCAUUGCAACCAAGGAAAGGAGAUGGUGCUAUUAAAAAUGGAUCUCAACGUUAAAUUUUGCAUCUGCAUUUUGAAGGCACUGUUUGGUUCUUGUUUUAUUUUUGGUGAAGUUGGAUUAAUAUCUCUACCCAAUUGUAUAAAACAAUUGGGAAUUUGAGUUUCUCUUCCAUCUUUUCUCACUGCUCUUUUGGAUUUUCUUGAGACUGAAGUGAUGCCAUUGGUCUUGGAAAGGUGUUAGUGCUGACUCAAAAGUUUCAUGAAAGUAUAACCUCUUUUUUGCUUUGAGAAAAAUGCUUAAACUUUCGUCCAACUCCAUUUUCUGUGAUUCGGCUAUAUUAACAAUAUUUCAUGUCCGUUCUAUUGUCUUUGAAAGUAUUUCAUUUGGUUUUAAAGAUGAGGAACUGUAAUAAUUACUGAAUUAGAGCUUCAUUUUAAGAACAUAUAAUAUCUUUGUUUGGUUAUCUUGUCUCUUUUAUAGCUUGAAUGACUCUGUUUUCCAUCUUUCUACCUUGCUGUGUUUUAAUCUAUAGGAAUGAAAUUAUUAGGUGGUCUUUAGGAUGCAUCACACUGCCAUCCAAUAUUAUUAGGUGAUGUAUAAUGGCAUUCAACUUGGAAUAUGAUGUGUGUGGAGCUAUUUUCUCUAUGACACCAACAUCAUGACUCAAUUUUAGUCUCACUUCAAAUAAAUCCUAGCUGUUAGUUGCUAAGGUCGGCUACAUUUGUCUUAAAUAAUGUUAAUGUACAACAAUUGGUUUAAUUCUAAGAGAGAAAGUCUCAUCAAGAAGUUUUGCUUAUGUUUUUUUCUUGGUGUCCCUCUAAAAAUAUUAGAUUAACAUUCAUUUGAUAUAAUCUUCUUAAUCAUGCUUCUAACGUUCUCUCCAUAUAAUCAAACCACAUAAGAUAUAAUUCUACCUUAUUUUCUAUAAUAGGAAUUAACCCAACUUUUUCAUACUUAUUACAAUGUAGGUCCCUAAAAAAUAGACCAAAUUCCUAUAUAUCAUGUCUACUCAUCACACACCAUGGCAGUACACCCAAACAUGGGGACGAAUCCUAAGUAACAAACAUAAGAUCACAACUCAUAACAAUUUACUAUUAUGGUAUAUAUUCCAUAUAAGCUAAGCAAGCACAAAUAUAAGGUAACAUGUCCUUAACUGCAUUCAUAUUCAGAGAGCUCUCCCACUGUGUCAGGUACAAGAAGCUGCAUAAUGCUUAUGAUGAUGCAAAGAAAAUAGCAGCUGAAAAAUCUGGAGUCUGUCCUGUCUUCCUAUUUUUUUCUGUGAGUUUCCAUUAUGAUGUUUCAAUGAGUUUUGAUUCUGGUUUUUUCUUAUUUUUUAUAUGCAAGCCAAUUCCAUUAUGCUUGCCACACUGACAUUUCAUUUUAUUUUUUAUUUAAUGCAGGUUAAUGCAAGUGGUCAGUUCUGUGGGGUUGCUGAGAUGUCUGGUCCAGUUGAUUAUAACAAGGAUAUGAACUUUUGGCAGCAAGAUAAAUGGAGUGGGAGCUUCCCUGUAAAAUGGCACUUCAUUAAAGACAUUCAAAAUUCAAAUUUUAGGCACAUUAUAUUAGAGAACAACGAGCACAAGCCAGUGACUAAUAGUAGAGACACUCAAGAGGUAUACAUAUCAUUAUUAUUUCUGCCUAGCAACUCUUGUUAAAUUAAGAAUUGGCAGGAUUUCUCUUAACCUUUAACAUGAGUCUGUAAGUUUAUACUUGAGUAGUUUCCUUAAACUUGUUACAUGUGUUUGUGGUUUCAUUGUGGCUUUGUUUUGAUUCAUUAUAUUUUUCCUUUAUUACUUAGUUCAAACAUUGACUAUUAAAUGUCCCUUGCCUAUGCGCAGAUAAUGUAUCAGAAAGGUUUAGAAAUGCUGAAAAUAUUCAAAAACCAUACUUUGAAGACAUCUUUGCUAGAUGACUUUAUGUACUAUGAAAACCGUCAAAAGAUCAUGCAAGAUGAGAAAGCAAAGUUCAUGAUCAAGAGUUUUGAAAGUCCAUUUAUACCACCUUUGGAAGCUCCACGUAAGUUAAAUUUUGUUGUGAACACACCUGGGGUCAAUGAUGACAAGAAUUCAAAGCCUAAGGAGGAUGUUGGUAGCUUAAAGCAAACUUCAACUUCCAGUUUUGAGCAAAUUGUCAACACUUCUAAUGUCCCUAGCAUCAAGUCAGUUG